rnacentral:piRNA from 1 species
UAAAAUCCACCAAUUUAUGGCUCCAGCAAC